AAUCAUCAUCCUCCGAGCCUUUUUCCCAAUCAUGUUGGGGUCGGCUUCCAGUCUAACCGGAUUCAGCUGAGUACCAGUGCUUUACAAGAAGCGACUGCCUAUCUGACCUCCUCAACCCAUUUAUAGUAAGUUCAACUCAGUCGUGCGCGCGGCCCUAUGUGUGGGUAACCCUUGUACAUAUACAGUGACUUUGUGUGCGUGACAAGAGGUACAGUCGGGUACAAAUACAGAUAUUUAGGGGUUGUAUACGGCUGUUUAAAGUACAGUUAUUACGUAAUUUAGUUUAUUUAUUUAUAAUGAUUCUGUAUCGCUACUUGAUAAAUCAAAUGAUGAAUUUUCGGAUUCGCUAUUUUCACCAAUGUUAAUUAUAAAUUCUGACUCCAUGUCAAAAUGUCUAUAGUAUUCUUCUUUUUUCUUUUGUACAUGUCGACAAGUAUUACCCAACAUCCCUUCAUCAAUUUGACUUAAACGUUCAUUUAUGAGUUUCAUUAUUUCCGUCUUAUUUU
rnacentral:lncRNA from 1 species